rnacentral:lncRNA from 1 species
UUGAAGAUGGCCGACAUCUCAUAAGGAGUCAUAUUGUAAAGGCCACCAAGACCAACUUGUUAGUUAUAAACUGAAAGAGAUUAGCGAAGGCUCCAAGACUCUUAUUACACAUCUCCCUAAGUGAUUUAUGUAUGCACACUAAAUGGAAACUCAAACCUACAAAUAGGAAGAGAUCACCAAAGAAAAACAACAACAAUACAUAAACAAAAGCAUAUCAAAAGAAAAUUUCUCACUCCAAGCUCAUGUUUGCAAAAUCAAAAAUCAAAGACAGCCUUAUUUAGAUACAACCCUGCCUGAAGAUAUGGGAAAAAGAGAAACCAACUCUCCAGACUUGCUUGGUAGACUUUUAAGUUUCUCCAUAUGCGGCCAUAAAAAUCCCUCUUAUAUUCACUUGUACAACUAAUUAGCAAAGAGAAAGAGCAAUGGCAAAGCAUUUUUAAUUCCAAACAAGA